UUCCUUCCGAAGAGUAAACAGUACAAAAAGAAGAAAACCACAGUGCAACUUUGUAGCUUGGGGGUGAAAUCAACCAGCACUACCUUAGCGGGACAAUCAAGAUCAGCAACCGGCAUAGGUGUGUCACAUCGACAGAGGGGGCUACAUAUGGUGUCAAGGUAAGCAUCCAGCAUUGUUGUGUCACACUGACAGAGGGGACUAGAUAUGUUGUGAUGAUAAUGUCUCUUUUGCCUGAGGUCUCCCCUCCCCCAAAGGAGAGAACUCUGGUCUAAACUUUGAGGAAAGCAACAAGCCAGCCUCCGCCAUUUGACAGGUACCUAUGGAAUAAAGGAGAACCUCAAAAGAUGUGCCUCACCUGAAAUCUGAGAAAGAUGAGGAUAUUAGGUAACAGCCAAGAGAAUCUGAAUAAAGCGUUGGUUAAUAUUAACGCCU
rnacentral:lncRNA from 1 species